ensembl:lncRNA
GAUCAUGGACUUUUCCACAAUCAUUUGAAGUUUGUGUCACUGUAUUAUGUAUUAAUUACAUGGGGAUAUAUUUCACAUCAGAGCCUGGGGUAUAAAAUAUGGAUUUUUAUCAUGAUGUUCCCAGUUAAAGAAGAAAAAAAAAGAUUUUGUGGUAUAAUAUUUAAUAGGAUUCAAAGCUUGGCAGAAGCUAUAGAAAUCACUUCAUAAACUGUGUGACGUCAACCUGUGGCAGAAAUUCUAGGCUUACCUGUGUUUGGCACACAUGUCUAUGGAGAUCCUUUCCAAAGAAGCAUCAGGGCGUUAUCACUGCGCAUGUGUGACAUCCUCCCCCUGCAGGCUCCUGUUACCUGCAAUCUGGAGACUAUGCUGAACAGAGAGAUGUUGUAAUCAAUUGAACCACAAGGAGAGUCACCCAAUCAGAACUCAGCAAGGCCAUUGGCACCUAGAAGAGUGGCCUCACACAGCUAUCAGAACACCAUACCUGAAUAGUGGUAGUUGAUGGAACACUUCUGAAAGUGACAUCAAGUGAUUGAAAAGUAAUUGACAUCAAUAGCAAACAAUUGCAAAAUAUCCUUUAACUUAUUACAAAAGUAUCUGCAAGUGGGAAUGGAACAUGGGCAGACAACCUAAACAGUGCAACCAAAAGGGGAAAGGUGGCACCUGGAGCAAAGCAGCUUGAUUAUGAAGGGCUUCUUCUAGGACCCUUGCUGUCUACAGCCUCUGGCUGAGACAGCCCAAAGGGCUUCCAAUGCUGCUCUGACGGCCCCUGGAGGUGUUUCUGCUCUUGGCCCACUCAAGCACGCAUACAAGCUUGGAAAUCUCCAGGAGUGUGGGACCGUCUCGCUUGGAUAAGAAGAGUGA